rnacentral:rRNA from 1 species
UGGGGAAUUUUCCGCAAUGGGCGAAAGCCUGACGGAGCAAUGCCGCGUGGAGGUGGAAGGCCUACGGGUCGUCAACUUCUUUUCUCGGAGAAGAAACAAUGACGGUAUCUGAGGAAUAAGCAUCGGCUAACUCUGUGC